rnacentral:rRNA from 1 species
CCCCUACUCCUACCCGGAGGCAGCAGUGGGGAAUAUUGCACAAUGGGCGCAAGCCUGAUGCAGCGACGCCGCGUGAGGGAUGACGGCCUUCGGGUUGUAAACCUCUUUCAGUAGGGAAGAAGCGAAAGUGACGGUACCUGCAGAAGAAGCGCCGGCUAACUACGUGCCAGCAGCCGCGGUAAUACGUAGGGCGCAAGCGUUAUCCGGAAUUAUUGGGCGUAAAGAGCUCGUAGGCGGUUUGUCGCGUCUGCCGUGAAAGUCCGGGGCUCAACUCCGGAUCUGCGGUGGGUACGGGCAGACUAGAGUGAUGUAGGGGAGACUGGAAUUCCUGGUGUAGCGGUGAAAUGCGCAGAUAUCAGGAGGAACACCGAUGGCGAAGGCAGGUCUCUGGGCAUUAACUGACGCUGAGGAGCGAAAGCAUGGGGAGCGAACAGGAUUAGAUACCCUGGUAGUCCAUGCCGUAAACGUUGGGCACUAGGUGUGGGGGACAUUCCACGUUUUCCGCGCCGUAGCUAACGCAUUAAGUGCCCCGCCUGGGGAGUACGGCCGCAAGGCUAAAACUCAAAGGAAUUGACGGGGGCCCGCACAAGCGGCGGAGCAUGCGGAUUAAUUCGAUGCAACGCGAAGAACCUUACCAAGGCUUGACAUGAACCAGACCGGGCUGGAAACAGUCCCUUGC